rnacentral:lncRNA from 1 species
AUGGCGUGCAAUGGGACUUCAGUGUCCAUCGAUGCCCCCACACCUCCGGCCAGGCUGAGCCCCACAGCCUCGCCCGGGGUCACGAGCCGGGCCAGCACCUUCCAUCCCUGCUCGCUGCUGUCCCCUCGCUUGGUCAGGCCACAGCGGGCCCUCAGCUGGACCGGAGGAAUAGCAAACACCGGCUGUCUCCGUAAGUCAAGGCCCACGUGUUUCUGUUUACACUUAAAUUGCCUUCCGUUUCCACACAACUCAGAGCUACUCUGUUACGUAACAUCAGUACCCUCCACGCCAGGGAGGCAAGCGAAGGUUCGGGGAAGCAGAGCCCACAGGAGCCGUGACAGCUACAGGCCUGCUCCCUGUCAGGGACGGGGGGGAGGCUCUGAGCUGCAGCAUUCACGCUGCCGGUCCGCCCGAGCCUGCGCUCACAUUAAACACACACCUGUUUCUUUUAGAAUCCACCUUCACCAAGUCAGGGCAGAUGACAUGUUUUUUUUAGUAAAUUAUUUUCUCAAAAGCUGCCUCCAGAUAAAAGCUUCACGAGGUGUAAGCAUGAGGAACCGUGCUGGGGCCCAGCAAGAGGCCCACCCGUGUGGCCGUGGCGAGGAGGCUCUCAGGCCAGCCAGCGCGCGAUGGCUGGACCCGGGUGGGCUCCCAUCACACAGCUGCUGCAGCCCCCAGCCCAGGUCAGUGCUCGCCACAACCUGCCGAGUUCUCCCCCAAAAGAGUGAACACAAAACAGCCGUCCAGCCCAUUGGCGUGGUCCCCAGGGCACGUGUGCCACGGGGACACACACAGCUGUCCCAGCCCCCCGUCCACGGGCUCCGAGCAGGACUUUCUCGCCAGGACGCUGGCCUAGCUGCCCCUGGUGUUGGCCUUCAGGCCCUCGACAGCACGCCUGGGGACCUGGCAGAGACAAGCCAGCUCAGAGGCGGCAGGGCAGAGGCUGCACUGGACCAAAGGGUCCCGGGGGCACAUUCCACUUGUGGGCUCUACCUGCAGGCCUCUGGUUGGAACAGAGAGCUGGGUGCAGCUGGGGCACCCACGCCAGGCGGGGAGAACGUGGCUGGACGCAGGCAGGGACAGAGCCUACCCUGCAAACACUCACCGUGGGGGAGAGGGGACCCCGCCUCACACGGGGCCUCACAGCACACUUGGGGCCCUGCGUGCAGAGGGCGUGGUGGGCGCUCUGGCCUAACCCCCGUCAGUGCCUGGGGUGCUGAGGCCAACGUCUGCACACACUCGGAAGAAUCAAACAUGAGCCCACCCAGGACCCCACUGCACAUAGUGAAGCCAGCCUUGGGGUCACCGUGGCUGGCACUUACCAUUCACACAGGUCUCAGCAGGUCUGCAGAGGCCAUCCUCAAACAGGCAGCCUGGGAAGGAGAACAGAGGAGAGACAGUCAGAGCCUCAGUGCGCUGAGGGCCAUGGCCCUGCUGGCCCCGGAGUCCAGGGGGCCGCACGGAGCUGGGGGCCUGCUUCAGUGA